rnacentral:pre_miRNA from 15 species
CCUUCUGGGAGGCCCCUUUCCAAUCCUGUUGUGCCUGGGUCAGAGGAUUGGGGAGAGGCUUUCCUGAAGG